GGAACCGUAGAGUAGAUGUCUACACGUGUGACUAAUAAUCAGAUGGUCAUGGGUUCGAUUCCCACUCCUUCCA
rnacentral:tRNA from 1 species